CGGGAGUCAAAUCCCGUCGGGCAUGUGGCAAGAGCUGAACCCAUAA
rnacentral:ncRNA from 1 species